CAUCUCCUGGAUCUUCCUGUAGGGAUUGACCCUCCCUUUCUGACUGCCUGCCUCUGAACUUCAAGCUCCAGCAUCAGAUGAGAAGACGAUGUCCUUAAAGGAACUGCUCAGCCAGCCUCUACGAUUGUUGAAGAAGCCUGGAGAGUGAGUGGUGAUGAAAUAGC